rnacentral:lncRNA from 1 species
AAUGGAAGGAAUAUCAUGGCCGAGAACAAGGCAUAAUUGUAUGUCCCUUGAUGUAGGGGGGCCUGUAAAGGUAAAUAAUUCCUGGAGCCAUCUCGAGGUAUAGUACUCAAGUCGGAGCGAAUCAAUUGAUAGCACGAUGAAAA